AGAGUUUGAUCCUGGCUCAGGAUGAACGCUAGCUACAGGCUUAACACAUGCAAGUCGAGGGGCAGCGGGAUUGAAGCUUGCUUCAAUCGCCGGCGACCGGCGCACGGGUGAGUAACGCGUAUCCAACCUUCCGCAUACUCGGGGAUAGCCUUCUGAAAAGGAGAUUAAUACCCGAUGGUAUCAAGAGAUUGCAUGAUAACUUGAUUAAAGAAUUUCGGUAUGCGAUGGGGAUGCGUUCCAUUAGGUAGUAGGCGGGGUAACGGCCCACCUAGCCAACGAUGGAUAGGGGUUCUGAGAGGAAGGUCCCCCACAUUGGAACUGAGACACGGUCCAAACUCCUACGGGAGGCAGCAGUGAGGAAUAUUGGUCAAUGGACGAGAGUCUGAACCAGCCAAGUAGCGUGAAGGAUGAAGGUUCUAUGGAUUGUAAACUUCUUUUAUAAGGGAAUAAAACCUUCCACGUGUGGGAGCUUGUAUGUACCUUAUGAAUAAGCAUCGGCUAACUCCGUGCCAGCAGCCGCGGUAAUACGGAGGAUGCGAGCGUUAUCCGGAUUUAUUGGGUUUAAAGGGAGCGCAGACGGGGGAUUAAGUCAGUUGUGAAAGUUUGGGGCUCAACCUUAAAAUUGCAGUUGAUACUGGUUCUCUUGAGUGCAGUUGAGGCAGGCGGAAUUCGUGGUGUAGCGGUGAAAUGCUUAGAUAUCACGAAGAACUCCGAUUGCGAAGGCAGCUUACUAACCUGUAACUGACAUUGAUGCUCGAAAGUGUGGGUAUCAAACAGGAUUAGAUACCCUGGUAGUCCACACGGUAAACGAUGAAUACUCGCUGUAGGCGAUAUACAGUCUGCGGCCAAGCGAAAGCAUUAAGUAUUCCACCUGGGGAGUACGCCGGCAACGGUGAAACUCAAAGGAAUUGACGGGGGCCCG
rnacentral:rRNA from 1 species